UAGGGAAUCUUCCGCAAUGGACGCAAGUCUGAUGCAGCAACGCCGCGUGUGUGAAGAAGGAUUUCGGUUCGUAAAACUCUGUUGUUAGAGAAGAACAGCGCAUAGAGUAAAUGUUAUGCGUGUGACGGUAUCUAACCAGAAAGCCACGGCUAACUACGUGCCAGCAGCCGCGGUAAUACGUAGGUGGCAAGCGUUGUCCGGAUUUAUUGGGCGUAAAGCGAACGCAGGCGGUUAGAUAAGUCUGAAGUUAAAGGCAGUGGCUCAACCAUUGUAGGCUUUGGAAACUGUUUAACUUGAGUGCAGAAGAGGGGGGUGGAAUUCCAUGUGUAGCGGUGAAAUGCGUAGAUAUAUGGAGGAACACCGGUGGCGAAAGCGGCGCUCUGGUCUGUAACUGACGCUGAGGCUCGAAAGCGUGGGGAGCGAACAGG
rnacentral:rRNA from 1 species